rnacentral:pre_miRNA from 1 species
AGUGGCGGAGGGGCAGGUCCCUCAGUCCGGAUUGUGAGAGGGCGCAGGCCAGGCUGAGGUACCCCACUGGUGCACU